AUGGCGGGGGUGAGCACUGCGACGGGGGCGAUGAGCUCCCUCCUUUGCAAGCUCGCCACCUUGCUCACCAACGAGUACAAGCUGCUUGCGGGGGUUCACAAGCAGAUCGAGUUCCUCCAGCGCGAGCUCAGCAGCAUGCAAGUCUUGCUGGAGAGACUGGCGGACAUGGAGGAGAAACUCGACACCACAGCCAAGGACUGGAGAGGCAAAGUGCGCGACCUCAGCUAUGACAUAGAAGACUGCAUCGACCGCUUCAUGGACCGGCUUGGAAGCGGAGAAGCCAAGCGGGGAUUUAUGAAGAGAACCGCGCACCGGCUUAGAACGCUGUGGGCGCGCCAUGAUAUCGCGACCCAGAUCAAGGACCUCAAAGCUCGCGUCAUCGAGGAGAGCCAGCGGCGUGACAGGUACAAGCUUGAUGAGAGUUGCUACACUCCACCACAAAUUGUGGAGGUUGAUCCACGGAUAACUGCACUCUACGACGAUGUCAGUGGCUUGGUGGCAAUAGAUGGCCCAGUGAAGGACAUCGAUUCCUUGUUGAUGGAUGAGAAAGAAAUGCAGCUGAAAGUGGUGGCCAUUGUGGGAUCCGGAGGACUGGGGAAGACGACCCUAGCCAUGGAGGUCUAUCGCAAGAUCGGAGGAGACUUCCAGUACCGAGCUUCUGUGUCUGUGUCACGUACACUUGAUCUAGAGAAUCUUUUGAAGGAUAUCUUGUCUCAAAUUGACAAAGAUGCGUAUGGAGAGUGUCAAUCAGAGGGUUGGAGAUUCUAA
rnacentral:rRNA from 1 species